rnacentral:rRNA from 1 species
GACGAACGCUGGCGGCGUGCUUAACACAUGCAAGUCGAACGGAAAGGCCCUGCUUGCAGGGUACUCGAGUGGCGAACGGGUGAGUAACACGUGGGUGAUCUGCCCUGCACUUCGGGAUAAGCCUGGGCAACUGGGUCUAAUACCGGAUAGGAGCCAUUUUUAGUGUGAUGGUUGGAGAGUUUUUUCGGUGUAGGAUGAGCUCGCGGCCUAUGAGCUUGUUGGUGGGGUAAUGGCCUACCAAGGCGGCGACGGGUAGCCGGCCUGAGAGGGUGGACGGACACAUUGGGACUGAGAUACGGCCCAGACUCCGACGGGAGGCAGCAGUGGGGAAUAUUGCACAAUGGGCGCAAGCCUGAUGCAGCGACGCCGCGUGGGGGAUGACGGCCUUCGGGUUGUAAACUCCUUUCGCUAGGGACGAAGCUUUUUGUGACGGUACCUAGAUAAGAAGCACCGGCUAACUACGUG